AACGAACGCUGGCGGCAUGCCUAACACAUGCAAGUCGAACGAGAUCCUUCGGGGUCUAGUGGCGCACGGGUGCGUAACGCGUGGGAAUCUGCCCUUAGGUUCGGAAUAACAGUUAGAAAUGACUGCUAAUACCGGAUGAUGACGUUAAGUCCAAAGAUUUAUCGCCUGAGGAUGAGCCCGCGUAGGAUUAGCUAGUUGGUGUGGUAAAGGCGCACCAAGGCGACGAUCCUUAGCUGGUCUGAGAGGAUGAUCAGCCACACUGGGACUGAGACACGGCCCAGACUCCUACGGGAGGCAGCAGUGGGGAAUAUUGGACAAUGGGCGCAAGCCUGAUCCAGCAAUGCCGCGUGAGUGAUGAAGGCCUUAGGGUUGUAAAGCUCUUUUACCCGAGAUGAUAAUGACAGUAGCGGGAGAAUAAGCCCCGGCUAACUCC
rnacentral:rRNA from 1 species